AACGAACGCUGGCGGCGUGUUUAAGACAUGCAAGUCGCGCGGGAUAAGACAUGUAGUAAUACUUGUUUUAUUUAGUGGCGCACGGGUGAGUAACACGUGAAUUACAUGCCCUAUAGUGGGGAAUAGCCCAGGGAAACUUGGAUUAAUACCCCAUGGUAUCGAAAGAUUAAAGGUGGCCGCAAGGCUGUCGCUAUAGGAUUGGUUCGCGCCCUAUCAGCUUGUUGGUGAGGUAACGGCUCACCAAGGCAAUGACGGGUACCUGGUCUGAGAGGACGAUCAGGCACACUGGAACUGAGACACGGUCCAGACACCUACGGGUGGCAGCAGUCGAGAAUAAUUCACAAUGGGGGCAACCCUGAUGGUGCAACGCCGCGUGGAGGAUGACGGUCUUCGGAUUGUAAACUCCUGUCAUCUGGGAGAAAGACCUGACGGUAAAUAGCCGGCAGGGUUGAUAGUACCAGAAGAGGAAGGGACGGCUAACUUCGUGCCAGCCGCCGCCUGUAA
rnacentral:rRNA from 1 species